rnacentral:rRNA from 1 species
CUACACUCAAUAUGGUCAGAAACCAUAUGUAGAGCGCAAAGGUAAAAGUGUGGUUGACUGUGAGACCUACAAGUCGAGCAGGUGCGAAAGCAGGACUUAGUGAUCCGGCAGUUCAUUAUGGAAUGGCUGUCGCUCAACGGAUAAAAGCUACCCCGGGGAUAACAGGGUUAUCUUCCCCAAGAGAUCACAUCGACGGGAAGGUUUGCCACCUCGAUGUCGGCUCAUCGCAUCCUGGAGCUGGAGUUGGUUCCAAGGGUUGGGCUGUUCGCCAAUUAAAGCGGUACGCGAGCUGGGUUCAGAACGUCGUGAGACAGUUCGGUACCGAGUUGAUGUUGGUGC